GGAAAUGUAGCUCAGUUGGUGGAGUGUUGGCUUGUCACGCCAAAGGUCGCGGGUUCAAGUCCCGUCUUUUUCG
rnacentral:tRNA from 1 species